AACCAACCGGGAUUGCCUCAGUAACGGCGAGUGAAGCGGCAAAAGCUCAAAUUUGAAAUCUGGUACCUUCGGUGCCCGAGUUGUAAUUUGUAGAAGGUAACUUUGGGGCUGGUCCUUGUCUAUGUUCCUUGGAACAGGACGUCAUAGAGGGUGAGAAUCCCGUGUGGCGAGGAUCCCAGUUCUAUGUAAAGUGCUUUCGAAGAGUCGAGUUGUUUGGGAAUGCAGCUCUAAGUGGGUGGUAAAUUCCAUCUAAAGCUAAAUAUUGGCGAGAGACCGAUAGCGAACAAGUACAGUGAUGGAAAGAUGAAAAGAACUUUGAAAAGAGAGUGAAAAAGUACGUGAAAUUGUUGAAAGGGAAGGGCAUUUGAUCAGACAUGGUGUUUUGCGCCCUCUGCUCCUCGUGGGUGGGGGAAUCUCGCAGCUCACUGGGCCAGCAUCAGUUUUGGCGGUAGGAUAAAUCUGCAGGAAUGUAGCUUGCUUCGGCAAGUGUUAUAGCCUGUUGAAAUACUGCCAGCCGGGACUGAGGACUGCGACUU
rnacentral:rRNA from 1 species